rnacentral:rRNA from 1 species
UGGGGAAUUUUGGACAAUGGGCGAAAGCCUGAUCCAGCAAUGCCGCGUGUGUGAAGAAGGCCUUCGGGUUGUAAAGCACUUUUGUCCGGAAAGAAAUCCUUGGCUCUAAUACAGUCGGGGGAUGACGGUACCGGAAGAAUAAGCACCGGCUAACUACGUGCCAGCAGCCGCGGUAAUACGUAGGGUGCAAGCGUUAAUCGGAAUUACUGGGCGUAAAGCGUGCGCAGGCGGUUUGCUAAGACCGAUGUGAAAUCCCCGGGCUCAACCUGGGAACUGCAUUGGCGACUGGCAGGCUAGAGUAUGGCAGAGGGGGGUAGAAUUCCACGUGUAGCAGUGAAAUGCGUAGAGAUGUGGAGGAAUACCGAUGGCGAAGGCAGCCCCCUGGGCCAAUACUGACGCUCAUGCACGAAAGCGUGGGGAGCAAACAGGAUUAGAUACCCUGGUAGUCCACGCCCUAAACGAUGUCAACUAGUUGUUGGGAUUCAUUUCCUUAGUAACGUAGCUAACGCGUGAAGUUGACCGCCUGGGGAGUACGGUCGCAAGAUUAAAACUCAAAUGAAUUGACGGGGUCAUAGCUGUUUCCU